rnacentral:rRNA from 1 species
AUGGGAGCAGCGGCUGCAGUCUGCCGAAAUCGAGACGGAGCAUAUCUUGGGUCAUCUUUGUUAGCUAUACGUGGUCUUGUCAACCCAGCUAUACUGGAAGCUCUUGCUUGCAGGGAAGCACUUGCUUUGGCUCAAGAUCUAGGAAUGCAGUAUAUUCAAGUAGCUUCAGACUGUCAGCAAUGCAUCAGCCACAUCCAUCAAGGUGUAGGAGGAGAGGAUGGAGGAGUUAUAAAAGAAAUUUUAGAGAGUCUUCAAGGUUUUUCUUCGUGUAUUUUUUGUUUCGAACCUCGAGCUUCCAAUGUUGACGCUCAUAGGCUUGCUAGGUUUGGUGUUUCUCUACCUCAAGGGAGGCAUCUAUGGCUGGGUCUUCCUCAUGACCCGGUUGCUAUAUCUGUAAACGUAACUGAUUAA